UGGGGAAUAUUGGACAAUGGGGGGAACCCUGAUCCAGCCAUGCCGCGUGUGUGAAGAAGGCCUUAUGGUUGUAAAGCACUUUAAGCGAGGAGGAGGGUACUGGUAUUAAUACUACCAGCUACUGGACGUUACUCGCAGAAUAAGCACCGGCUAACUCUGUGCCAGCAUCCGCGGUAAUACAGAGGGUGCGAGCGUUAAUCGGAUUUACUGGGCGUAAAGCGUGCGUAGGCGGCUAAUUGAGUCGGAUGUGAAAUCCCCGAGCUUAACUUGGGAAUUGCAUUCGAUACUGGUUAGCUAGAGUGUGGGAGAGGAUGGUAGAAUUCCAGGUGUAGCGGUGAAAUGCGUAGAGAUCUGGAGGAAUACCGAUGGCGAAGGCAGCCAUCUGGCCUAACACUGACGCUGAGGUACGAAAGCAUGGGGAGCAAACAGG
rnacentral:rRNA from 1 species